rnacentral:rRNA from 1 species
UACGGAGGGUGCAAGCGUUAUCCGGAUUCACUGGGUUUAAAGGGUGCGUAGGUGGGCAGGUAAGUCAGUGGUGAAAUCUCCGGGCUUAACCCGGAAACUGCCAUUGAUACUAUCAGUCUUGAAUACCGUGGAGGUCAGCGGAAUAUGUCAUGUAGCGGUGAAAUGCUUAGAUAUGGCAUAGAACACCAAUUGCGAAGGCAGCUGGCUACACGGAUAUUGACACUGAGGCACGAAAGCGUGGGGAUCAAACAGG